rnacentral:rRNA from 1 species
UACGUAGGGUGCGAGCGUUGUCCGGAAUUAUUGGGCGUAAAGAGCUCGUGAGCGGUGUGUCACGUCGGCCGUGAAAACCUGCAGCUUAACUGUGGGCGUGCGGUCGAUACGGGCAUCACUGGAGUUCGGCAGGGGAGACUGGAAUUCCUGGUGUAGCGGUGAAAUGCGCAGAUAUCAGGAGGAACACCGGUGGCGAAGGCGGGUCUCUGGGCCGAUACUGACGCUGGAGGAGCGAAAGCGUGGGGAGCAAACAGG